rnacentral:lncRNA from 1 species
AAGGUAAGAAACAUGGACUUUUCAAGUACAAUCACAUUCCUGUCAUAUCAUACUGAGUGAUUAAAAAUAUAUAUAUAACUAUUCGCAGCAAUUAGUCCCUAAUUUCUAGGGCAGCUUUAUUGUUCCUUGCCUAUCAUUUAGCUGUGUUAAGGUAUUUCAGUUUAUCCUUUUCUUACUGACCUCUUCGCAGAUGUGUUGAUGAGUGUAAGGUCAAGUUUUGCUUUUUAACAUGUUUAAUGUUAAUGCUUCGAUGGUUUUAGUCUGUCAUAUGUCAUCAAUAAACCUUUUCUUUUUAUCAUGUUUAUACAUGCAUCCAUUCAAGACACUUUUAAGUUUAGAUUUGGCUUAUUGCUAAGAAAAGUGGAAAGGCCAUGUAUUCAAGUUUUAGAAAUUAAAAUGCUCAAGAUAGCAUACAUAAGAGUAAACAGGAGCAUACUUCUGGAAUUUGGUAGGCUUGUUGCAUAACUAUGUUAAUGACUGUGGAGCCUUUUUGGUAUCAAAACUGUUGCUUUUGUCAGGUGAAACAUUGGAUAUUUUUAGUCUGUCAUAUGUCAUCAAUAAACAUUUUCUUUUUAUCAUGUUUAUACAUGCAUCCAUACAAGACACUUUUAAGUUUAGAUUUGGCUUAUUGCUAAGAAAAGUGGAAUGGCCAUGUAUUCAAGUUUUAGAAAUUAAAAUGCUCGAGAUAGCAUACAUAAGAGUAAACAGGAGCAUGUUUCUGGAAUUAGGUAGGCUUGUUGCAUAACUACGUUAAUGACUGUGGAGCCUUUUUGGUAUCAAAACUGUUGCUUUUGUCAGGUGAAACAUUGGAUAUUUUUAGUCCGUCGUAUGUCAUCAAUAAACCUUUUAUUUUUAUCAUGUUUAUACAUGUUUCCACCAAGACACUUUUAAGUUUAGAUUUGGCUUAUUGCUAAGAAAAGUGGAAUGACCAUGUAUUCAAGUUUUAGAAAUUAAAAUGCUCCAGAUAGCAUACAUAAGAGUAAACAGGAGCAUACUUUUGGAAUUAGGUAGGCUUGUUGCAUAACUAUGUUAAUGACUCUGGAGCCUUUUUGGUAUCAAAACUGUUGCUUUUGUCAGGUGAAACAUUGGAUAUUUUCUCAUAUGUACUGGACAUGGAAACUAGUAGUCAGGAAAGCUGGUUGGUAUUAUGGAAAACUCAACAGUUUUAAGCUUUCUCCCUUCCAACUUUUGUAACACGUUCCCGUUGACCUUACAACUUUUGUAAUAAGAAUAUAUUUGGCAAUGCAUAUCUCUGAUGUUACUUAUUCUUUUGACUUUUAACAGGU